CCAACGGCCCUCUUUAGGGCCACAAAUGAAUAAUCCAAUCCAAA
rfam:Caenorhabditis tropicalis strain JT1373 unplaced genomic scaffold Scaffold629, whole genome shotgun sequence.